GUGAAGCAGCAGCGCCGCCGCCGCCGCCCCCCGCCGGUGCGCCCCGGCCCCGACAAGAGCGAUGGCUCCGGUGCGGCGGCGGCUCCUCCUCCGCCUCCUCCUCCUCCCGCCGGCCCGGCUCUGAUGUCAGCGCCCCGGCCGCCGGGGGAGGGACGGGGCGGGGCGGCCCCGGGGCUGAGCCUGCGCCCGCCGGACCGGCCCCGCCGCUGCCCGAGGGGCGCCGGGGGGGGUUGGUCCCCCAGGGGUACGGGAGACCCCCGGCCCCACCACCGCCUGUGUCCCCGGUGCCCUGGAGCCGGAGGUGGGAUGGCAACAGGUCGCGGUGUUGCCGGUGACGCUCCGGUGACAACAGGAAAGACUGCUGGCAAAAGCGUGGAGCGACAGGACCGGGGGAAUGGGCUCAGAAUCCAGCAAAGAUGAGGCUAAAAGAGAAGAGAUCUACACUGAGGUGCAACCUGCCCUUGAGCUGCCUGACAUCCAGUGAGCAUUCCUUCUGCUGGAGCGUCACAGGAAAUCAAGCGAACCUGAGCAGCGGAGCCUCGGUGAGACAGAAUUAGCGAGAUUUCCCCAAAAUGAUCCAAUCUCUGCUACAGACGGGACAGAGGGGUGCCGGCUCCGUGCUCCGGGGUGUCGGGACUCCCUGCCCGGCUCGGAGCCCAUCGCCCCGAGCCACCACGAGGUGGCCCCCGGGCCCCGCCGGGCCCGGUGCGCCCGGGGCCGCGGGACGGGAGCGGCGCGGAGGCUCCGGGGGUGUCACAGGACACGAAAUAAAACGACGCGGAUACAGGAAUGGUAAGCUGUUACUGCACCUUGUGGACAGGGAAAGGGAGUCAGGAAUGAUUUGGGCUGCUUCAGAUGGAGUCAGGAGCCAGGACUGUGCCCACAGAGCCCUGCAGUGGCACAAUCCAGGAGGACAGAGCAAGCUCCAAGGUCAGCAGACAGAAAACAGGGAAGAUGGCCUGACUGAAGUGUCCAAACGAGUUAUGUAUAAAAUAUCCUUCCUGCAAGCACAGGAUGAAGCACAAGGUCACCCCAUGGCUGGGACAAAGCAGUGACAAAGCUCCCACCUCCCACACCUGCCAGCCCUGCUGCUGGUGGCACUUAAUCCCCUGGCAGUGCCCUGUGGGAAGAGCUCUGCAAAUGGCAUCAGGGAGACAGGGAAAGGGCUGAAACUGGGCCCACCAAAAGCUGCAUUUGUUGUGGCCCUGUGGGAAGGUAAAACAUCUUUCUGUAACGCUGCCAGAAAGGGCCGUGGAACAAGACCAGAACCUGAGAAAGCAGCUCAAAAAGGCCAAUUUGUCCAGACCCAGCAGUGCAGGUGAUGCAUGAAGCUCCAGUUUAGUUUAAUAGGGGAAGAAAAAUCAUCAAGGAAUAUUUAGAAAGGUUUGUGUCACUCUGGUGCAUUUCCCAUCACAUGAGGAUGUGUCAAAGGACCACGCUCAGUCCUGCCAGUGCUGAAGAGGAGCCUGGAAAUAGUUACAGCAAAGCAUGUGAUCCAUUAGACAGGGGAAAAGAAGAAGAAAAGGCAGCUUGGAUAUUCUCUCUUACCUCUCCUGUCACCUUUUUGCUCCUCCUGGAAGCACAGCCAGUGUCCCUGAUGAGGAAUGAGGUGGCCAGGGAGGUGAAACGCUGUGGCCAGGCCGUGUCACCAAGGCCUCGUCAGCUCAGCUCCACGCAGCUGGCACUGCUAAAACCUCCUGAAUCAGCACCAGCUGGCUGGAAAAUGAAAGCUGGCCUGUUUGCUCCCCUCUUGCACCUCCCAAAAUAUCCAGCAGCUUCCCUCUCCUGGUCCCCUCUGACCACACACACCCCCAGCAAUCAGCGGGCACUGCCAGCCUGUCCGGCCUCCUGCUCCCUGUGUCCCACCAGUAACCACCUAAAGUGGGCAUUUUUGAAGAUCACCAGGCUGCAAAUGUCUGAGAAGUGCUGGAGAACACAGCUCCCCCCUCCCAGGGCCCAGGGUCCCGUGGGGAGGUCAUGAGGUGCUGUGGGGCACAUCCAGCAAGGAGGAAAAUCAUCUCAAACCACCCUCAUUGUUUCCACUUUUAUCUCAUCCAAAGAAGAAACAGAGCAUAAAAAGGUGGGCAGCACAUUUCUCCAGGCUCCUUCAGAAGUCUGAGGAGCUGCAGGAGCUGCCCAGCUCCAGCUUCUUUCUGUCCUGGGUCAGACAGGACUCGACAGCAUCCAGCCCAAACCAUGCCAGAGGCUGAGCUCCACGCAGGACAACAGCAGUGAAGGGAAUUGUGCAGGGAAUCUGCAGCUCCUGUCUCAGAGAGUCAGCCUCAGACAAAAAAAAA